rnacentral:tRNA from 1 species
UCCCUGGUGCUGUAGUGGUUAAGGAUCCAGCAUUGUCACUGCUGUGGCAUGGGUUCAACCCCCAGCCUGGGAA